GUGCCCCCAGUAUUCAGUACAGUAUGAUGCUGUACAGGUGUAUAACCCAGAAGCAACGGGCUGUACCAUAGAGUCCAGAUGUGUAGUGGGCUGUUCUGUCCAGUCUACUCUCUGAAGGUUGUUCUAAGGGUCUGUGAAAGCAACAAGAGGAAGUUCUUGUAGGCCGAAAAAGGAA